rnacentral:rRNA from 1 species
UACGAAGGGGGCUAGCGUUGUUCGGAAUUACUGGGCGUAAAGCGCGCGUAGGCGGUGAUCUUUGUCAGAGGUGAAAUCCCGAGGCUCAACUUCGGAAUUGCCUUUGAAACGGGAUUGCUUGAGUCCGAGAGAGGAUGGCGGAAUUCCUAGUGUAGAGGUGAAAUUCGUAGAUAUUAGGAAGAACACCGGUGGCGAAGGCGGCCAUCUGGCUCGGUACUGACGCUCAGGCGCGAAAGCGUGGGGAGCAAACAGGAU